rnacentral:lncRNA from 1 species
UCCUUUUAAUCUUGCAUCUGUUAGUCGUUUGACUCGUGCCCUCCAUUGUGGUAUAUAUUUUAUUGAUGAUUCUUUUAUUAUGCAGGACUGCAGUACGGGGCAGACGAUUGGAACAGGACUUGAAUCAGAAGAACUUUACUACCUUAACUCACUAAAAUCCUCCAAGGCAUGUUUAGUUGCAGAUCCUCCAGACCUACUUCACAAACGUUUAGGACAUCCUAGCUUGUCCAAGCUUCAGAAGAUGGUGCCUAGUUUGUCUAGUUUAUCCACAUUAGAGUAUGAGUCAUGUCAGCUCGAGAAACAUACCUGAGCCUCCUUUCCUCGGUAGUAUUGGGAGUCUUGCAGAGUCUGUUUUUUCUUUAGUUCAUUCUGAUAUAUGGGGUCCUAAGAAACAUACCCGAGCCUCCUUUCCUCGUUGUAUUGAGAGUCAUGCAAAGUCUGUUUUUUCUUUAGUUCAUUCAGAUAUAUGGGGUCCUAGUAGAGUCAGUUCGACCUUGGGAUUUUGUUAGUUUCAUUGAUGAUUAUUCAAGAUGUACUUGGAUUUUCUUAAUGAAAGAUGUUGUUUUCUAUAUUCCAGAAUUUUUGUGCUGAAAUUAAAAACCAAUUUGGUGUUUUUAUUCGCACUUUUCGCAGUGAUAAUGCCUUAGAAUAUUUAUCCUCUCAAUUUCAACAGUUUAUGACUUCUCAAGGAAUUGUUUAUCAGACCUCUUGUCCUUAUACCCCUCAGCAAAAUGGGGUUGCAGAGAGAAAGAAUAGGCAUAUUAUUGAGACUGCUCGUACACUUCUCAUUGAAUCUCGUGUUCCGUUGCAUUUUUGGUGCGAUGUAACAAAAUGAAGUUGCAGAAAGAAAGAAUAGACACAUUAUUGAGAUUGCUCGCACACUUCUCAUUCAAUCUCAUGUUCCACUGCGUUUUUGGGGCGAUGCAGUUCUCACAUCUUGUUAUUUGGUUAAUCGGAUGCCUUCAUCUUCCAUCCAGAAUCAGAUUCCGUAUGAGGUAUUGUUUCCCAGUCAUCCUUAUACUCUGUUCCUCCUCGUGUUUUUGUGAGCACUUGUUUCGUUCAUAACUUAGCUCCUGGAAAAGAUAAAUUAGCUCCUCGUGCUCUCAAGUGUGUCUUCCUUGGUUAUUCUCGUGUUCAGAAGGGAUAUCGUUCUUAUUUACCUGAUCUUCGUAGGUACCUAUGUCAGCUGAUGUCACAUUUUUUGAGUCUAAACCUUUCUUUACCUGUUCAGACUAUUCUAACCAUCUUGAUAUAUCUGAGGUUUUACCUAUACCGGCCUUUAGGGAUUCUACUAUAGCUCCUC